UUCCAGAUAGCUCAGUUGGUUAGACUGAGCAUGGUGCUGGUAAUAGCAAAGUCGCAGGUUCGAGCCCCAUUUGGGACA